AUUGAACGCUGGCGGCAUGCCUUACACAUGCAAGUCGAACGGCAGCGCGGACUUCGGUCUGGCGGCGAGUGGCGAACGGGUGAGUAAUACAUCGGAACGUACCCUGUUGUGGGGGAUGACUAGUCGAAAGAUUAGCUAAUACCGCAUACGACCUGAGGGUGAAAGUGGGGGACCGCAAGGCCUCACGCAGCAGGAGCGGCCGAUGUCUGAUUAGCUAGUUGGUGGGGUAAAGGCCCACCAAGGCGACGAUCAGUAGCUGGUCUGAGAGGACGAUCAGCCACACUGGGACUGAGACACGGCCCAGACUCCUACGGGAGGCAGCAGUGGGGAAUUUUGGACAAUGGGGGCAACCCUGAUCCAGCAAUGCCGCGUGUGUGAAGAAGGCCUUCGGGUUGUAAAGCGCUUUUGUCCGGAAAGAAAUCGCGCUGGUUAAUACCUGGCGUGGAUGACGGUACCGGAAGAAUAAGCACCGGCUAACUACGUGCCAGCCGCCGCCGUAA
rnacentral:rRNA from 1 species